CGGGAACUGCCCGGCACGAGCCGCUUGAAACAUCCCUGAGGCUAUAAGCAAAUCCAUUGGGGGCUGUCCCUGGUUGGUCCGCUGUGUUUACACAAACGACCGGCACACAUGGCUCCCACCUGACGUGAACGCGUCAGAGGAUAUUUACGGAAACGACCCAUGGUGGGCCCGUC
rnacentral:sRNA from 2 species